rnacentral:rRNA from 1 species
UACAGAGGGGGCAAGCGUUAUUCGGAAUUAUUGGGCGUAAAGGGCGCGUAGGCGGCUUUUCAAGUGACGGGUGAAAUCCCUCGGCUUAACCGAGGAACUGCCUGUCAGACUGGAAGGCUUGAGACCGGGAGAGGUGAGUGGAAUUCCCAGUGUAGCGGUGAAAUGCGUAGAUAUCUGGAGGAACACCGGUGGCGAAGGCGGCAUCCUGGACCAAUAUUGACGCUGAGGAGCGAAAGCCAGGGGAGCAAACGGG